UACGUAGGGCGCAAGCGUUGUCCGGAUUUAUUGGGUUUAAAGGGUGCGUAGGCGGCUUUGUAAGUCAGUGGUGAAAUAUGGCAGCUUAACUGUCAAGGUGCCAUUGAUACUGCGGAGCUUGAGUACAGAUGAGGUAGGCGGAAUUGACGGUGUAGCGGUGAAAUGCUUAGAUAUCGUCAAGAACACCUAUAGCGAAGGCAGCUUACUAGGCUGUAACUGACGCUGAGGCACGAAAGUGUGGGGAUCAAACAGG
rnacentral:rRNA from 1 species